rnacentral:rRNA from 1 species
UACGGGGGGGGCAAGCGUUGUUCGGAAUUACUGGGCGUAAAGGGCUCGUAGGCGGCCAACUAAGUCAGACGUGAAAUCCCCAGGCUUAACCUGGGAACUGCGUCUGAUACUGGAUGGCUUGAAUUCGGGAGAGGGAUGCGGAAUUCCAGGUGUAGCGGUGAAAUGCGUAGAUAUCUGGAGGAACACCGGUGGCGAAGGCGGCAUCCUGGACCGGCAUUGACGCUGAGGCGCGAAAGCCAGGGGAGCAAACAGG